GUUGACCUCGGAUCAGGUAGGGAUACCCGCUGAACUUAAGCAUAUCAAUAAGCGGAGGAAAAGAAACCAACAGGGAUUGCCCUAGUAACGGCGAGUGAAGCGGCAACAGCUCAAAUUUGAAAUCUGGCGCAAGCCCGAGUUGUAAUUUGUAGAGGAUGCUUCUGGGCAGCGGCCGGUCUAAGUCCCUUGGAACAGGGCGUCAUAGAGGGUGAGAAUCCCGUAUGCGACCGGCUGGCACCCGUCACGUAGCUCCUUCGACGAGUCGAGUUGUUUGGGAAUGCAGCUCUAAAUGGGAGGUAAAUUCCUUCUAAAGCUAAAUACCGGCCAGUGACCGAUAGCGCACAAGUAGAGUGAUCGAAAGAUGAAAAGCACUUUGGAAAGAGAGUUAAAAAGCACGUGAAAUUGUUGAAAGGGAAGCGCAUGCAACCAGACUUGUCGGCGGUGUUCCGCCGGUCUUCUGACCGGUCUACUCGCCGUCGGCAGGCCAGCAUCAUCUGGGUGCGCCGGAUAAAGGCGUGGGGAAUGUGGCCCCUCGGGGUGUUAUAGCUCCACGCACAAUACGGCGCCGCCCGGGUGAGGUCCGCGCUUCGGCUAGGAUGCUGGCGUAAUGGUUGCCUGCGACCCGUCUUGAAACACGGACCAAGGAGUCUAACAUCUAUGCGAGUGUUCGGGUGUCAAACCCCUACGCGGAAUGAAAGUGAACGGAGGUGGGAACCUUCGGGUGCACCAUCGACCGAUCCUGAUGUCCUCGGAUGGAUUUGAGUAAGAGCAUAGCUGUUGGGACCCGAAAGAUGGUGAACUAUGCCUGAAUAGGGUGAAGCCAGAGGAAACUCUGGUGGAGGCUCGCAGCGGUUCUGACGUGCAAAUCGAUCGUCAAAUUUGGGUAUAGGGGCGAAAGACUAAUCGAACCAUCUAGUAGCUGGUUCCUGCCGAAG
rnacentral:rRNA from 1 species